rnacentral:sRNA from 1 species
AUGUGUUAGUGAUUGCAGUGGCAUCCUUUUUUUAUUGAACGGGCUUUAAAAUAAUUUAAAAAACCUAUUACAUGUUGAAGUGCUUUAACAUUGCAAAUGUAUUACAAAUAAUAAAAAAAGAUAUAACGAAAAGCACGACCGCGC